rnacentral:tRNA from 1 species
GACGCUCUAGCCCAAGUGGUAGAGGCCGCCUGACAAGGGAAUCCAGUCCAGGUUCGAACCCUGGGAGCGUCA